rnacentral:misc_RNA from 1 species
UCCGGCUUGCCACCGGCAGUUUCACUAGAGUUCCCAGCGUUACCUGAUGGCAACUAGUGAUGGGGGUUGCGCUCGUUGCGGGACUUAACCCAACACCUCACGACACGAGCUGACGACAGCCAUGCAGCACCUGUCUCUGCGUCCCUUGCGGGAAAACUCCUAUUAAGGAGCGGUCGCAGGAUGUCAAACCCUGGUAAGGUUCUGCGCGUUGCGUCGAAUUAAACCACAUGCUCCACCGCUUGUGCGGGCCCCCGUCAAUUCCUUUGAGUUUCAACCUUGCGGCCGUACUCCCCAGGCGGAAUGCUUAAUGCGUUAGCUGCGCCACUGAACAGCAAGCUGCCCAACGGCUAGCAUUCAUCGUUUACGGCGUGGACUAC